rnacentral:rRNA from 1 species
UAAUACGUAGGGUGCGAGCGUUAAUCGGAAUUACUGGGCGUAAAGCGUGCGCAGGCGGUUCUAUAAGACAGAUGUGAAAUCCCCGGGCUUAACCUGGGAACUGCGUUUGUGACUGUAGGACUCGAGUGUGGCAGAGGGGGGUGGAAUUCCACGUGUAGCAGUGAAAUGCGUAGAGAUGUGGAGGAACACCGAUGGCGAAGGCAGCCCCCUGGGUCAACACUGACGCUCAUGCACGAAAGCGUGGGGAGCAAACAGG